ACACAGGGGGAUAACAGUUGGAAACGGCUGCUAAUACCGCAUAAGCGCACAGUACCGCAUGGUACAGUGUGAAAAACUCCGGUGGUGUGAGAUGGACCCGCGUCUGAUUAGCUAGUUGGCAGGGCAACGGCCUACCAAGGCGACGAUCAGUAGCCGACCUGAGAGGGUGACCGGCCACAUUGGGACUGAGACACGGCCCAAACUCCUACGGGAGGCAGCAGUGGGGAAUAUUGCACAAUGGGGGAAACCCUGAUGCAGCGACGCCGCGUGAGCGAAGAAGUAUUUCGGUAUGUAAAACUCUAUCAGCAGGGAAGAAGAAAUGACGGUACCUGACUAAGAAGCACCGGCUAAAUACGUGCCAGCAGCCGCGGUAAUACGUAUGGUGCAAGCGUUAUCCGGAUUUACUGGGUGUAAAGGGAGCGCAGGCGGAAGGCUAAGUCUGAUGUGAAAGCCCGGGGCUCAACCCCGGUACUGCAUUGGAAACUGGUCAUCUAGAGUGUCGGAGGGGUAAGUGGAAUUCCUAGUGUAGCGGUGAAAUGCGUAGAUAUUAGGAGGAACACCAGUGGCGAAGGCGGCUUACUGGAC
rnacentral:rRNA from 1 species